UACGUAGGCAGCGAGCGUUGUUCGGAGUUACUGGGCGUAAAGCGUGUGUAGGCGGUCAUGCAAGUCGGAUGUGAAAGCCCCGGGCUCAACCCGGGAAGUGCACUCGAUACUGCGUGACUUGAGUAUCGGAGAGGUUGGUGGAAUUCUCGGUGUAGAGGUGAAAUUCGUAGAUAUCGAGAGGAACACCGGCGGCGAAGGCGGCCAACUGGACGAAUACUGACGCUGAGACACGAAAGCGUGGGGAGCAAACAGG
rnacentral:rRNA from 1 species